rnacentral:rRNA from 1 species
GACGAACGCUGGCGGCGUGCUUAACACAUGCAAGUCGAACGGUGAAGCGCCUUCCUUUUUGGUGGGUGUGGAUGAGUGGCGAACGGGUGAGUAACACGUGAGUAACCUGCCCCCUUCUUCUGGAUAACCGCAUGAAAGUGUGGCUAAUACGGGAUAUUCUGGGUCUGUCGCAUGAUGGGUCUGGGAAAGAUAUUGUUUCGGUGGGGGAUGGGCUCGCGGCCUAUCAGCUUGUUGGUGGGGUGGUGGCCUACCAAGGCGGUGAGGGGUAGCCGGCCUGAGAGGGUGGACGGUCACACUGGGACUGAGACACGGCCCAGACUCCUACGGGAGGCAGCAGUGGGGAAUAUUGCACAAUGGGCGCAAGCCUGAUGCAGCGACGCCGCGUGAGGGAUGGAGGCCUUCGGGUUGUGAACCUCUUUCGCCAGUGAAGCAGGCCUGCCUCGUUUGUGGGUGGGUUGACAGUAGCUGGAUAAGAAGCGCCGGCUAACUACGUG